UAUGGACGUUCCGCCAGCUAACGCGGUCCGGACACCGGAUCACUGAUUAGAGGUUGGCGUUGAACUAUUGUUUGCCAGCCAGUUAGCCGCUGGUAAGCUAACAAGCUAUGAAACAACUCCUUAUAAAACCGGAGGAAAGCAGCAGCAAUAUUUCAGUCCAAGACCUGUAUUCAGAACCUCCCACGCUGUUACACAAUGACCCAUUAAUCAUAUUACUGAACUAUAUGGUUAUCAUUGAAAUUUUCCUUGAAGAACCAGUGAACUCUUUGCGAACACAUUUUAAUUUAUGUGUUGAUUAUGUUUCGUAUCAGUAAUACAAGUCUAAAAAACUGAUUCAAAUGAUCAAGUUAACACAAUGAAGUAAAGAGUACUGGUAAUCUGCAGCUAUUUUCAUAAUUUCAAGGUAAAAUUCUGAUGUGUGAUUUUCUAGCUUUGCAGAUGUGGAAAUCCAAUGCACUGAUUUCUUAUACACAGAUGCUUUUGGUGUUUUUUGUUGUAAAAUAAAACAAGGCAUUUAUCACUAUUGGAAAUGAUUACAGGUAUUAUUUGUAACACUUUCUAACAUUGUAUGGACAAAGCAAUAAAUCAGUUAAUGGAUAAAAUCAUUUGUAUUACAGAUGCUAUCAACAGCAUGUCUUGUUCAUUUUAUUUAGUUGUCGGCCUUGGAUGAUGAGGUCCAGUUACCAGGAGCACUAGUCUGCAGCUUACUGGUUCCGUCCUGCAGCUCCUCCACGCCGUCCUCCUCUCUACAGACCAAAUCAAGAAAAGGGAACCAGGAAGCUGCUUUGGAUCCUCUGCAGUAUCUGGAGAGGUCAGAGGAACGGUUCUUGGAACAGAUCGGAAGACACCAAGACGUGACCUCUGCCAUGCUCCAGAACAUCCAGAAGAUGAAUGAAAACCUUGGUUGCACUGAUGGGACGCAUGGUGUCGGUGCUGGAGCAACUGUCCCAGAAUUAAACUGCAUUGUUGACUAUUGGCUUUUCUAGAAAAUAAAUCUUUUUUAGUACUUCA